CUGACUUCUAUGCAGUUGUAAAGUGAAAAACAUUAGCCUGAAAUUGUUGACCUAUUGUCUUUCACAGAGGUGUGAACUCCUAUUUGCCAAGACUAAUGUUGAAGUGCUCUUGUCAGAACCAAUUUUAAAUAGUACCUUUAGGCACUUUGUUACCAGCAGCCUGUCGCAAGACACCUUAUUUGUUCAUAUUUCUUUAAAAAAACCUCAGUUCAGACAG